UAUAAUUGGAGUUGAACAAAAGCUUCUGGUUAAAGAUCAGCUUGUGACAAAUGUUGAUAAGUUGUCUGUGUGUUUUUCCCUCCCCUUUUGUGGGACAUUGGUUGAUUUUUAGAAUCCAGGAAGAAUAGCAGUAUGUCAAUGGUAUCCAUUAAAUUUCUUGUUUGCGAACUUUGAUUUUCUAAAAAUGCUACAUUUUUUUAUAUUUUGAUUUGUGUUUUAUCGGCAAUAUGCAGGUACCCUAUUCCUCCCUUUGAUUUUUCUGUCAAGGGUGUUACAUCAAUCUCAUCUGAUGUCCAUAAGUACGGAUUAGCACCAAAAGGCACAAGCAUUGUCCUGUACAGAAAUCAUGAAAUUAGAAAGCAUCAGUUUGUUGCUGUUACUGAGUGGACCGGUG